CCUACGGGAGGCUGCAGUGGGGAAUAUUGCACAAUGGGCGCAAGCCUGAUGCAGCCAUGCCGCGUGUGUGAAGAAGGCCUUCGGGUUGUAAAGCACUUUCAGCGGGGAGGAAGGCGUUAAGGUUAAUAACCUUGGCGAUUGACGUUACCCGCAGAAGAAGCACCGGCUAACUCCGUGCCAGCAGCCGCGGUAAUACGGAGGGUGCAAGCGUUAAUCGGAAUUACUGGGCGUAAAGCGCACGCAGGCGGUCUGUCAAGUCGGAUGUGAAAUCCCCGGGCUCAACCUGGGAACUGCAUUCGAAACUGGCAGGCUAGAGCCUUGUAGAGGGGGGUAGAAUUCCAGGUGUAGCGGUGAAAUGCGUAGAGAUCUGGAGGAAUACCGGUGGCGAAGGCGGCCCCCUGGACAAAGACUGACGCUCAGGUGCGAAAGCGUGGGGAGCAAACAGGAUUAGAUACCCCGGUAGUC
rnacentral:rRNA from 1 species